CGAGCGGUAACAGGAGAGAGCUUGCUCUCUUGCUGACGAGCGGCGGACGGGUGAGUAAAGCCUGGGAAAUUGCCCUGAUGUGGGGGAUAACCAUUGGAAACGAUGGCUAAUACCGCAUGAUGUCUACGGACCAAAGAGGGGGACCUUCGGGCCUCUCGCGUCAGGAUAUGCCCAGGUGGGAUUAGCUAGUUGGUGAGGUAAAGGCUCACCAAGGCGACGAUCCCUAGCUGGUCUGAGAGGAUGAUCAGCCACACUGGAACUGAGACACGGUCCAGACUCCUACGGGAGGCAGCAGUGGGGAAUAUUGCACAAUGGGCGCAAGCCUGAUGCAGCCAUGCCGCGUGUAUGAAGAAGGCCUUCGGGUUGUAAAGUACUUUCAGCAGUGAGGAAGGGUGAUGCUUUAAUAGAGUCUCAUUUUGACGUUAGCUGCAGAAGAAGCACCGGCUAACUCCGUGCCAGCAGCCGCGGUAAUACGGAGGGUGCGAGCGUUAAUCGGAAUUACUGGGCGUAAAGCGCAUGCAGGUGGUCUUUUAAGUCAGAUGUGAAAGCCCGGGGCUUAACCCCGGAGUUGCAUUUGAAACUGGGAGGCUAGAGUACUGUAGAGGGGGGUAGAAUUUCAGGUGUAGCGGUGAAAUGCGUAGAGAUCUGAAGGAAUACCGGUGGCGAAGGCGGCCCCCUGGACAGGUACUGACACUCAGAUGCGAAAGCGUGGGGAGCAAACAGGAUUAGAUACCCUGGUAGUCCACGCCGUAAACGAUGUCUACUUGGAGGUUGUGACCUAGAGUCGUGGCUUUCGGAGCUAACGCGUUAAGUAGACCGCCUGGGGAGUACGGUCGCAAGAUUAAAACUCAAAUGAAUUGACGGGGGCCCGCACAAGCGGUGGAGCAUGUGGUUUAAUUCGAUGCAACGCGAAGAACCUUACCUACUCUUGACAUCCAGAGAAGCCGGAAGAGAUUCUGGUGUGCCUUCGGGAGCUCUGAGACAGGUGCUGCAUGGCUGUCGUCAGCUCGUGUUGUGAAAUGUUGGGUUAAGUCCCG
rnacentral:rRNA from 1 species